UACGUAGGGACCAAGCGUUGUUCGGAUUUACUGGGCGUAAAGGGCGCGUAGGCGGCAAUUCAAGUCAUCUGUGAAAUCUCCGGGCUUAACCCGGAACGGUCAGAUGAUACUGCUUUGCUAGAGUGCAGAAGGGGCAAUCGGAAUUCUUGGUGUAGCGGUGAAAUGCGUAGAUAUCAAGAGGAACACCUGAGGUGAAGACGGGUUGCUGGGCUGACACUGACGCUGAGGAGCGAAAGCGUGGGGGAGCGAACAGG
rnacentral:rRNA from 1 species